CAGAGGUGGCAAGCGUUGUUCGGAAUUACUGGGCGUAAAGGGCGCGUAGGCGGCCUUCUAAGUCAGACGUGAAAUCCCCAGGCUUAACUUGGGAACUGCGUCUGAUACUGGAGGGCUCGAGUGCGGGAGAGGGAUGUGGAAUUCCAGGUGUAGCAGUGAAAUGCGUAGAUAUCUGGAGGAACACCGGUGGCGAAGGCGGCAUCCUGGACCGACACUGACGCUGAGGCGCGAAAGCUAGGGGAGCAAACGGGAUUAGAUACCCCGGUAGUCCUAGCCCUAAACGAUGAGUGCUUGGUGUGGCGGGUAUCGAUCCCUGCCGUGCCGAAGCUAACGCAUUAAGCACUCCGCCUGGGGAGUACGGUCGCAAGGCUG
rnacentral:rRNA from 1 species